CCUACGGGUGGCAGCAGUGAGGAAUAUUGGUCAAUGGACGAGAGUCUGAACCAGCCAAGCCGCGUGAAGGAUGACUGCCCUAUGGGUUGUAAACUUCUUUUAUACGGGAAUAAAGCUCAGUACGUAUACUCUUCUGAAUGUACCUUACGAAUAAGGAUCGGCUAACUCCGUGCCAGCAGCCGCGGUAAUCCGGAGGAUCCGAGCGUUAUCCGGAUUUAUUGGGUUUAAAGGGUGCGUAGGCGGGUUGUUAAGUCAGAUGUGAAAGUUUGGGGCUUAACCGGGGAAUUGCAGUUAAUACUGGCGUCCUAGAGAGGAGAAGAGGUAGGCGGAAUGCAUGGUGUAGCGGUGAAAUGCUUAGAUAUCACGAAGAACUCCGAUUGCGAAGGCAGCCUGCUGAGCUAUAACUGACGCUGAGGCACGAAAGUGUGGGUAUCAAACAGGAUUAGAUACCCGGGUAGUC
rnacentral:rRNA from 1 species